ensembl:snRNA U6 U6 spliceosomal RNA
GUGCUCGCUUCAGCAGCACAUAUACUAAAAUUGGAAUGAUACAGUGAAGAUUAGCAUGGCCCCUGCGCAAGGAUGACACGCAAUUUGUGAAGUGUUCCAUAUUUCA